UCCUCAAUAACUCAGUAGUAGAGUAGUCGGAUGUUAAUUGAUUGAUCGUAAGUUCAAAUCCUACUUAGGGAG